GAUGAAGAACGCAGCGAAAUGCGAUAAGUAAUGUGAAUUGCAGAAUUCAGUGAAUCAUCGAAUCUUUGAACGCACCUUGCGCUCCUUGGUAUUCCUUGGAGCAUGCCUGUUUGAGUAUCAUGAAAUCCUCAAAAUAUAUCUUUCGUUCAUUCGAUUGUUUUAUUUUGGACUUGGAGGUCUGCAGAUUCACGUCUGCUCCUCUCAAAUGCAUUAGCUGGAUCUCAGUGAGCUCGGUUCCACUCGGCGUGAUAAGUAUCACUCGCUGAGGACACUGUAAAAAGUGGCCGGGAUUGCAGAUGAACCGCUUCUAAUCGUCUAUUAGCUUAGACAAUUAAAUCUUAUGAUCUGAUCUCAAAUCAGGUAGGACUACCCGCUGAACUUAAGCAUAUCAAUAAGCGGAGGA
rnacentral:misc_RNA from 1 species